AGAGAGAGGGAAAGAGAAUCUUAAGCAGACUGCACACUCAAUGCAGAGCCCAAUGCCAGGCUCGAUCUCAUGACCCUAAGAUCAUGACCUGAGUCAAAAUCAAGAGUUAAAAAAAAAAAAUCAAGUUAGUCACUUAACCAACUGAGCCACCCAGGCAUCCCAAUAAAUGUGAUUUUAAAAAAUAACUUAUAGGUUUAGUUUGGAAUUUUAACUGAUAUUAUUUUGUUUUUACCAGUGAGCAGUAUUGUUUGCUUUAAAGUUAUUUCACUCAAAUGGCCAGCCUGAUAUAUCUAAUUUAUCUAUCCAGUAGAAAAAUCUCAAAAAUUUAUAAGACUUCCUAACAAAAUUCAUAAACCAUCAAUACUAACCAAUUAUUAACGUUAGCUUAAUAUUUUGAAAUAAUACUAUUGAUUAUAUAUAUUUAUAUUAUUUAUAGUAUAUAUACUAUAUAUAAGUGUCAUUUAAGGAACUAAAAAUACUAGUUAAAAUCUAAUUCCUAUUUCACCAAUUAAUCUCUCUUAACAAUUAAUGUUUAAUUUCUGCUCUACUCUCCCCCUUCAAGUUAAGAACAAAAUAGCCCUCAAGUCAUCAUGAAGUUUAAAAAACAUUCUCUCACUUUUUUUUUAAACAAGUGAGAGUAUUCAAAACUCCAGAGUAUGGAUUUUGCAUUUUGAACUUUUGGUCUACUUGUGUUCAAAUUCCUUUGAAAUGAUUUUGAUCUUUCCUUCAAAGAAAUUCGAAGUUCUUGCUUGUACUUUGCCAGGGAAGAAUUAAAACUAUUCCUUCUCUCUUUGUAUAUUCAACAUAGAAAAAAUGCUUCAAAUGUCGUAUUUCAGGUCAGAUGAAAUUUGUGUAAAUUUUGUAGUAUGAAUCCUUCAGAAUGGAUAAUGUAACCUUCCUGACUAGAAUAGAAUGGUUUUUCAGUGAUCAUCUUUGAUAUCAUUAACUCCUCCUCUGUGCAGGUAAAAUAUAAUAGAUUUUUUUCUAGGUUUAGCAAUUUAUUUGGGGGAAUAAUCUCUUAGGUCAUCUUACUUGCUUUUAACUUUACACCCUAAUAACAUUUCAAAAGAUCUAUACAUAGAUAUCUUUUUCUCCAAUAAUCAAGGCUACAGAGAAUUCAUUAUAUAUAUAUAUAAAUAUAUAUAUUCAUUAUAUAUAUAAAAAAAAUAUAUAUAUUUAAAAAAUAUAUAUAUAUCACUCUUAUUUUUUUUUACCUUGACCUCAACAAAACACUAUUAGUUUCUCUUCCAAUUUCUAAGUUUUGUAACCACCUUAGGAAGACAGACCAUUUUAAAGAUUCUUAUAUUACUUGCACAGUUGAACACAUAUAUCACCCAUGAUAUCUCUGUAACCAAGGCAAGGCUGAAGAAUGAAUCUAAAUUAUCUAAAAAGUUGUUCGCUUCUCCAAUCCCACUUAUGUGAGUAAGAGAAUACAUUCUGGAGCCACACUCUAACAGUUUGAAUCCUAGCUCUGCCAUUUCAUAUGGUGUUUGAUUAUGGGCAGGUUAUUUAAACUCUCUGUGCCUCAAUUUCUUUAAAAAAUGUGGCUAAUAAGAGUGCCUACUUCAUAGGGUGGUUGGGGGAUAAAAUGAAUUAAUAUGUGUAAAUGCUUAUAAUAUCUAGCAUAUAGAGGCACCUAUGUGUUAAUAUUAUCUAAAUUUCACUUGCUUUGGAUUGACAAAAGGAAUGAAAAGAGAUGAUUUGCGACACUGUUUCAAUGUUAACAUAUAGAAAGAAGUAAACAAAAUAUAGUUUGAGUUUUGUUCUGAACACUUUAACUUGAAUCUAAUUAGAGCUUGGUUAUUAUAAACAGUUUGCUUUUUGUUUUGCCCAAGAUAUUUGUUUUCCACUUAUAUCUAAAAUAAUAUUCUUAUCUUUUGCUCUUUUCAGUGUUUUAUUAUUUUUAUUUCACUUAAUGGCCCUAUAUAUUGUAUCUCCUCUGAUUUGCCUUAAUAUGAAGGAAUUCUAAAGUGUAUUAAUGUUAUUAUUACUGCCAUUGCUAUGUCUCUUAUAGGAGUUAAUAGAACCGGAAUCAAAGUAAAUUUAACUGAAUCAUACUUAGCAUGUUCUCUGCAAAUUCUGUUUAUUUUCAGACAUGUUAAUGGCUGAAUGUAUGAUCUGGCAAUAAUCUUAUAUAAAUAGAAACACGAU
rnacentral:lncRNA from 1 species